CACCCCAGCAAUGAGCAAAGAGACACAAUGGUGGUGUUUUUAUAUCAGUCAGGGGUAACACAAAUGGCAGCCCUUUGUUCAUCCUACCUUCAUGCCUACCUUGGUGACUAAAGCUGUUUUAUGCCUAGGACAUAUAA